rnacentral:rRNA from 1 species
UACGAGGGGGGCGAGCGUUGUUCGGAAUUAUUGGGCGUAAAGGGUGCGUAGGCGGUUUGGUAAGUCUUGUGUGAAAUCUCCGGGCUCAACUCGGAGCCUGCACGAGAAACUGCCGGGCUUGAGUGUGGGAGAGGUGAGUGGAAUUCCUGGUGUAGCGGUGAAAUGCGUAGAGAUCAGGAGGAACACCGGUGGCGAAGGCGGCCCACUGGGCAGUCACUGACGCUGAGGCGCGAAAGCUCGGGGAGCGAACGGG